rnacentral:rRNA from 1 species
UACGGGGGGAGCAAGCGUUGUUCGGAUUUACUGGGCUUAAAGGGCGCGUAGGCGGGUCAUCAAGUCCGGGGUGAAGUCUUCCGGCUUAACCGGAAAAGGGCCUUGGAUACUGGUGAUCUGGAGGGAGGUAGGGGCAGCUGGAACUUCCGGUGGAGCGGUGAAAUGCGUUGAUAUCGGAAGGAACUCCGGUGGCGAAGGCGAGCUGCUGGACCUCUUCUGACGCUGAGGCGCGAAAGCUAGGGGAGCAAACGGG